UUUUUAAUGAUGAAAAAUGUAAUCCGACUGUUUUCGUGACGAUUACACACAUAACGUUAAACCAAAAGGAUUCUGAGAAAAU